rnacentral:rRNA from 1 species
UCAGAUAAGCACGCUAUCGUGCAGCAGCGCGUAUACGAGUGCAGCGUAUCGAUACUGGCGUAAAGCGCGCGUAGUGUUGUAAGUGGAUGUGAAAGCCUGGGCUCAACUAGAACUGCAUCCAAAACUAACUCACUAGAGUACGAUAGAGGGAGGUAGAAUUCAUAGUGUAGCGGUGGAAUGCGUAGAUAUUAUGAAGAAUACCAGUGGCGAAGGCGGCCUCCUGGAUCUGUACUGACACUAAGGUGCGAAAGCGUGGGUAGCGAACAGGAUUAGAUACCCUGGUAGUCCACGCCGUAAACGAUGACAACUAGCUGUUGGGAGACAAUGUCUUUCAGUGGCGCAGCUAACGUUUUAAGUUGUCCGCCUGGGGAGUACGGCCGCAAGGCUAAAACUCAAAUGAAUUGACGGGGACCCGCACAAGCGGUGGAGCAUGUGGUUUAAUUCGAUGCAACGCGAAAAACCUUACCUACUCUUGACAUACUUGGAAGCUCUUGUAAUGAGAGUGUGCCUUUUGGAGCCAAGAUACAGGUGCUGCAUGGCUGUCGUCAGCUCGUGUCGUGAGAUGCUCCGUUAAGUCGGAUAACGAGCGCAACCCUUACCCUUAUUUGCCAGCGAUUCGGUCGGGAACUAUAAGGGGACUGCCGGUGAUAAACCGGAGGAAGGUGAGGACGACGUCAAGUCAUCAUGGCCCUUACGAGUAGGGCUACACACGUGCUACAAUGGGGAAUACAGACGGACGCUAAGCCGCGAGGUGGUGCUAAUCCUAUAAAGUUCUUCGUAGUCCGGAUUGGAGUCUGCAACUCGACUCCAUGAAGUCGGAAUCGCUAGUAAUCGCGAAUCAGCAUGUCGCGGUGAAUACGUUCUCGGGUCUUGUACACACCGCCCGUCACACCAUGGAAGUGGAUUGCACCAGAAGUAGAUAGUCUAACCUUCGGGAGGGCGUUUAC